GCAUUGGUGGUUUUGUGGUAGAAUUCUCACCUUCUAUGCCAGAGACCCAGGUUCAAUUACUGGCCAGUGUA
rnacentral:tRNA from 1 species